rnacentral:rRNA from 1 species
GAUGAACGCUGGCGGCGUGCUUAACACAUGCAAGUCGAACGAUGAAAGCGGGAGCUUGCUCCUGCUGGAUUAGUGGCGAACGGGUGAGUAACACGUGAGCAAUCUGCCCCGAACUCUGGGAUAAGCGUUGGAAACGACGUCUAAUACCGGAUACGACGCGCGAAGGCAUCUUCUGCGCGUGGAAAGAAUUUCGGUUCGGGAUGAGCUCGCGGCCUAUCAGCUAGUUGGUGAGUUAACGGCUCACCAAGGCGACGACGGGUAGCCGGCCUGAGAGGGUGACCGGCCACACUGGGACUGAGACACGGCCCAGACUCCUACGGGAGGCAGCAGUGGGGAAUAGUGCACAAUGGGCGAAAGCCUGAUGCAGCAACGCCGCGUGAGGGACGACGGCCUUCGGGUUGUAAACCUCUUUUAGUAGGGAAGAAGCGAAAGUGACGGUACCUGCAGAAAAAGCACCGGCUAACUACGUGCCAGCCGCCGCCGUAAGAC